rnacentral:rRNA from 1 species
UACAGAGGGUGCGAGCGUUAAUCGGAAUUACUGGGCGUAAAGGGUGUGUAGGUGGCGCGCUAAGUCGGGUGUGAAAUUUCGGAGCUUAACUCCGAAACUGCAUUCGAUACUGGCGUGCUUGAGGACUGGAGAGGAGACUGGAAUUCAUGGUGUAGCAGUGAAAUGCGUAGAGAUCAUGAGGAAGACCAGUGGCGAAGGCGGAUCUCUGGACAGUUCCUGACACUGAGACACGAAGGCCAGGGGAGCAAACGGG